CUGAGAGGAAACAAAAAUGGGUACAGAAGGGAAAAGGGGAAAAUGGAGAAGAGGAAGGAGAAGAGAGGGAGGAGGAAGGAACGACGCGGCUAGGACCUCACCGCCGCCGCCGUUGUGCCGACGCGAGUGAGAGAGAGACAUCCAGAACGAGCGUUGCGAGAACCAAGGGAAGGAGGCACCGUUCCGUCCCGUUGCCAUUGCGGGUUGCGCCUGAUCACCAGCGCAGAAGCUCCAUCGUCGCCAUUGCACGUGAGAGGAGGAGAUGACGUCGCUGAUCCUGAUUCUGUCUAAGCCCCUCAUCGUCGCUGGAAUCACGAAUCGGGGAGGAGAGGGAGGCUGCUUCCAUCGUCAUUCCAGGUGCCAGAGAAGACCGUCGCCGUUGAAGGAACCACCGCCGCCGAACCCAAGCUAUCACUGCCGCCGGAGUCACCGUGGUUGCCACUGGAGAAGUGUUAUGAACGCCGCUGCUACUGAACUACUUUAGUCACUGCUUCGAUCCCAUUCACCCCCCACAGCGUCCUCUGUUCUUGUCUUUGAAUCAGCACUGCCCUUGUUCCAGUUUCAAUUCCAAUUCUGCCAUUUCUGAAUAUUUCUGUCAAGGUAUGUUUGAAAAAUUAAAAUUGGUAGUGCUGUCGUCACCUUCUGGGUCACGUUGGAAUCACCUCUGCUGCCAUGAAACUAAAAGGGAACGGAGUUGUCAAGUUAAUCUAUAUGAACUCGGCUAAUCAAGUGCUUUGAGUCAGUGGAAUUGACCCUUCAUUGCCUUGUGAUAUGCCCAAAUGCAACUGCAGAUUGGUCGUUGGUGAAGGUUCAAGUACCUGGAGCUAGUUUGGAGGAAGUAAUAGUUCAGGAAAUGGCGGAUGCAUGUCAUGAAAAACACCUUUGGCAGAUUUACUGGAAGAAGACAAAUGGCUCUACUGGUUAGUCUCUCCUGUUAUUUAUGGAAGACUCGAAACACUCUUAUUUUUAUGGAAAGGAUAAGGGACCGAAUGAAAAUAUACAGAAGCGGUCAAGAUUGCAGAAGAGUUCUUUAUUGAAGUUCUUAGACAUUAAUUCCUUCUCUCUCUUUAUUAGGUUGUUUUCAUUUGUAAGUCGGGAGAUUCCGAAUCCUCUAAAUUAUGCUGGCUGUCCAAUUGGACCCAUCUUUUAUUCAUUUAAAUGAAGUAUUACUUUUGGAAAAAAAAUUGAACCAUCCAAUUUGAGGUUUCUAAUUAAAAAAAUUGCAAAAACAAACCGACCCUUCAAUUUGUAACUCGGAAAUUUUUAAAAUUAUGUUUCAUGAAA